CCUACGGGGGGCAGCAGUGGGGAAUAUUGGGCAAUGGGCGCAAGCCUGACCCAGCGACGCCGCGUGAGGGAAGAAGGCCUUUGGGUCGUAAACCUCUGUUGUAUGGGAAGAAGGAAGUGACGGUACCAUACGAGGAAGUCCCGGCUAACUACGUGCCAGCAGCCGCGGUAAUACGUAGGGGACGAGCGUUGUCCGGAAUUACUGGGCGUAAAGGGCGCGCAGGCGGAUAUUUAAGUCAGCUGUAAAAGGCAUGAGCUCAACUCAUGUAUGCGGUUGAAACUGGGAAACUUGAGUGCAGAAGAGGAGAGUGGAAUUCCAUGUGUAGCGGUGAAAUGCGUAGAUAUAUGGAGGAACACCAGUGGCGAAGGCGGCUCUCUGGUCUGUAACUGACGCUGAGGCUCGAAAGCGUGGGGAGCAAACAGGAUUAGAUACCCUUGUAGUC
rnacentral:rRNA from 1 species